CCUAUCUAUAACAAGGAUUUAGAUAGGCAAGAAAUAUAUGUUGGAAGUAUGGUAAGAUCCCCAGACAUCCAACUAAGGGAGCACAAAAACAAUACAGAAAAAGUGGCUUUCAACACAAUGCUUGUCAAGCAUUUCUGCUGGUACGGCAUCAGCUUAGAAUGGAGUCAGAUGCGAAUCAUUAGAACAGUGAGUGGAGCAGAGGACAUUAGAAUUGUCGGGGCCAUUAUUAUUGAACAAUGUAAAAGGUUCUACAUCAUAAAUGACAAUCCUCUGGUUGACAUACUGCCUCAAUGGCUUGUGUAGUCUGGGUACAUAGAAAUCCCACAGUUACCAUCAAUUUUAUCUGUUGCAGUUGAAAACCUUAUAGCUUAUUUAAUAUAUACAUAAACUUAAUAAUUAUAGCUAAUUCUUUCCUUGUUUAAAUACUUAGAUUUGAAAAUUAUUC
rnacentral:lncRNA from 1 species